rnacentral:rRNA from 1 species
UACGUAGGUGGAAAGCGUUGUCCGGAAUUAUUGGGCGUAAAGCGCGCGCAGGCGGUCCCUUAAGUCUGAUGUGAAAGCCCACGGCUCAACCGUGGAGGGUCAUUGGAAACUGGGGGACUUGAGUGCAGAAGAGGAAAGUGGAAUUCCAUGUGUAGCGGUGAAAUGCGUAGAGAUGUGGAGGCACACCAGUGGCGAAGGCGACUUUCUGGUCUGUAACUGACGCUGAGGCGCGAAAGCGUGGGGAGCAAACAGG